GACAGAGGGUGCAAACGUUGUUCGGAAUUACUGGGCGUAAAGCGCGUGUAGGCGGCCCUGCAAGUCGGGUGUGAAAUCCCACGGCUCAACCGUGGAAGUGCACUCGAAACUGCAGGGCUAGAGUCCUGGAGAGGAAGGUGGAAUGCUUGGUGUAGAGGUGAAAUUCGUAGAUAUCAAGCGGAACACCGGUGGCGAAGGCGGCCUUCUGGACAGUGACUGACGCUGAGACGCGAAAGCCAGGGGAGCGAACGGG
rnacentral:rRNA from 1 species